CUCCUACGGGAGGCAGCAGUGAGGAAUUUUGCGCAAUGGGGGAAACCCUGACGCAGCAACGCCGCGUGAGUGAUGAAGGCUUUCGGGUCGUAAAGCUCUGUCAAGUGGGAAGAACCCACAUGGUGUUAAUACAACUAUGUGCUGACGGUACCACUGAAGGAAGCACCGGCUAACUCCGUGCCAGCAGCCGCGGUAAUA
rnacentral:rRNA from 1 species